GAUCAUGGCUCAGGACGAACGCUGGCGGCGUGCCUAACACAUGCAAGUCGAACGGAACUUCUUUAAAGGAUUUCUUCGGAAUGAAUUUGAUUAAGUUUAGUGGCGGACGGGUGAGUAACGCGUGAGUAACCUGCCUCUAAGAGGGGAAUAACAUUCUGAAAAGAAUGCUAAUACCGCAUAAUAUGUAUUUAUCGCAUGGUAGAUAUAUCAAAGAUUUAUCGCUUAGAGAUGGACUCGCGUCCGA
rnacentral:rRNA from 1 species